AUCUCCCCCACGGCACGAACCCGGACAGGAAGAUCACGUCAGUGACUCAACCCACUCAAGUGACGCACCCCUCCUAGGGACGGCAUGGAAGAGCACCAGUAAGCCAGUGACUCAGCCCCCGUAACAGGGUCAGAGGCAAAGAAUCCCAGUGGAGAAAGAGGAGAACCGGCCAGGCAGAGACAGCAAGGACGGUUUGUCGCUCCAGUGCCUUUCACCCCCAUAUGCCUUGAAAUACGCAGAUCGACGGAUUACAAGUAAACCUACAUUGACAACAAGGUGUUCAGCUACCACCAGCGUAGCCAUGUCCUGGUGGAGGGCUUCCCCAAGGACAUCUCUGAGGUGUUCCCUGGUUUCCCUGACCACCUGGACGCUGCUGUGGUGUGUCCCAAGGGAGAUUGUCGCUGAGACAUAUUCUUCAAGGGGCAUGCCGUGUUCGACUUUGACACCUACACUAAGAAGGUAAAGGCCAGUGGACCCACCUCCCCAACUUCACCUCGGCCCUUCGCUGGUCGGAUCACUACUACUGUUUCCAUGGACACCAGUUCACCAAGUUCCACCCUUAGUCCGGAAGUGUGACAGGGAAGUACCCCAAAAGACUACUUCACGAAGUGCCCCAACUUCAGUGAGUCCAGGGGGGGGCAGCUGAACAGAGAUUUUAAACACAGCUGACAUCUUAAAGUUGAGCAGACAUUUUGUACGGUUGUUAUUAAAGACUCAGCAAGAAAAUAAAUAGCAGUAGAUCUCUUCAACAACUAAGAGCGUUGAAGCACGAAUCUAAACUAACGAACGUUAAGUCAGUCACACAAGAUAUCGCUGGAGAUGAUUGGCUGUGGACACCGUGGGACGAACAUUAGUCAGUCACACAAGAUAUCGCUGGAGAUGAUUGGCUGUGGACACCGUGGGACGAACAUUAGUCAGUCACACAAGAUAUCGCUGGAGAUGUUUGGCUGUGGACACCGUGGGACGAACAGUAGUCAGUCACACAAGAUAUCGCUGGAGAUGAUUGGCUGUGGACACCGUGGGACGAACAUUAGUCAGUCACACAAGAUAUCGCUGGAGAUGAUUGGCUGUGGACACCGUGGGACGAACA